rnacentral:rRNA from 1 species
UGGGGAAUAUUGCACAAUGGGCGAAAGCCUGAUGCAGCGACGCCGCGUGAAGGANGAAGUAUUUCGGUAUGUAAACUUCUAUCAGCAGGGAAGAAAAAUGACGGUACCUGACUAAGAAGCCCCGGCUAACUACGUGCC